UACGUAGGGACCGAGCGUUGUCCGGAAUCAUUGGGCGUAAAGAGCGUGUAGGCGGCCAACUAAGUCCUGCGUGAAAUCUCGGGGCUCAACCCCGGAGCGGUCGUGGGAAACUGGUUGGCUAGAGUGCGGGAGAGGAGAGUGGAAUUCCGUGGUGUAGCGGUGAAAUGCGCAGAUAUCAGGAAGAACACCCGUGGCGAAGGCGGCUCUCUGGAACGCAACUGACGCUGAGACGCGAAAGCGUGGGGAGCAAACAGG
rnacentral:rRNA from 1 species